rnacentral:rRNA from 1 species
GAUGAACGCUGGCGGCGUGCCUAAUACAUGCAAGUCGAGCGGACGGACGAGAAGCUUGCUUUUCUGUUGUUAGCGGCGGACGGGUGAGUAACACGUGGAUAACCUACCUAUAAGACUGGGAUAACUUCGGGAAACCGGAGCUUAUACCGGAUAAUCUUUUGAACCGCAUGGUUCAAAAGUGAGAUACGGUCUUGCUGUCACUUAUAGAUGGAUCCGGGCUGCAUUAGCUAGUUGGUAAGUUAACGGCUUACCAAGGCAACCAUGCAUAACCGACCUCAGAGGGGGAUCGGCCACAUUGGAAGUUGAACAGGGACAAGAGUCCUACGAGAGGCAGCAGACUGGAACGGUCGGCAAUGGGCGAAAACCUGACGGAACAAGGGGAAGUGAGUGAUGACGGCGUUGGGAGCGUGAAACCGUGUUAUUGGUGAUAAACAGCUGUGGAAGGUACUGUGCAGUGCGUGACGGUAACUGAUAAGAAAGCCACGGCUAACUACGUG